UACGUAGGUGGCAAGCGUUAUCCGGAUUUAUUGGGCGUAAAGAGAACGCAGGCGGUCUUUUAAGUCUGGUGUAAAAGGCAGUGGCCCAACCAUUGUAUGCAUUGGAAACUGGUAGACUUGAGUGCAGGAGAGGAGAGUGGAAUUCCAUGUGUAGCGGUGAAAUGCGUAGAUAUAUGGAGGAACACCGGUGGCGAAAGCGGCUCUCUGGCCUGUAACUGACACUGAGGCUCGAAAGCGUGGGGAGCAAACAGG
rnacentral:rRNA from 1 species